rnacentral:rRNA from 1 species
GAUGAACGCUAGCGGCAGGCUUAACACAUGCAAGUCGAGGGGCAGCGAGGUGUAGCAAUACACUGUCGGCGACCGGCGCACGGGUGCGUAACGCGUAUACAAUUUGCCUUAUACAGGGAGAUAGCCCGGAGAAAUUUCGGAUUAAUAUCCCAUAACACUGCGCUAUGGCAUCAUAGUGCAUUUAAAGCUACGGCGGUAUAAGAUGAGUAUGCGUCUGAUUAGCUAGUUGGUGAGGUAACGGCUCACCAAGGCGACGAUCAGUAGGGGGGCCUGAGAGGGUUAUCCCCCCGACACUGGAACUGAGACACGGUCCAGACUCCUACGGGAGGCCAGCAGUGAGGAAUAUUGGUCAAUGGA